GCAGAGAGCAGCCUGUUUGAGAAAAUUGCUCUGGUGUUCGCCCUCGCGCGCUCCGGCGAGACGAAGCUGAAAGCUGAUUGGAAAAGAGCAAUCACGAGUAUACACAAAGAUUGGUGUCGUUUUUUAUCGCGAGACUUUGAGCAGCGCGAAAGCUUAAGGGUAUAUAAAAUUAAACUCAACGACGCAAAAUUGUCAGGUCUACAGCUAGUGGCACGGUGUAUAUGAAACUUCAUUAUGUGUAACGAUACCUGACAGUUAUUGUCACCUAGAAAUUAUUAAGAUGCACUUCAAAAAUAAUUGGAGCUCUAUGUAGUUGUUACUAACUUCCCAGCAGAGGGCACUGUGAUGUAGACUUUGACUUAAAACUGGUUUGCUUGUGUUUCUAUCCUGAAUAGGUUACAUUUGCGGCUCUAUACGUCCAAACAGUGACGUCCUCCUGCUGUUUCUAAACUAUGACGUCAUAGAUUAGCAGCAUACCGGACUAGACUUUAAAACAUUCCAUAUACAUUCACGCAUUUAUGGUGAUUGGAGAACAAGAAUGUAACAAUGGUUAAAAGAUGGCGGCCUAACGCCUACCUGGAGCUCAACACAGUUACAAUGAAGUCAAGACAAGCUACGACACCCUAACUUGGGAAUCCACAGGAGUUCCAAUGAAACAUGUGGUCAUAUUAAGCAUUCGUAGACACAACGCAUGGCCCUCCACCGUCCAAGACGACCAGCUUUUCGGUUGUGCUCAAAGCGUGGAGGCCCUGAGGUUCAACGUUGCCUGCUGCUCACCGCCACGGAGGCUCGCGAGCGCUUUUCAUAUCAUCUCCGAUCAGAACAGAGCCCGACUCCGACCAGAUCAAAUAAGAUCACUGUGUAGGUUUUAAAGACGAGACUCAUUCACACAGCCACACAUUCCCUCACUCAGACACUCAUUCAGUCACUCGCCAAACACUCUCACAACCACUCCACACACGCGCCAUUCAAACAGUAAACUCGGAGGAAGUUUCGCGUCACGUUUAAAGCCUGACACCGGAUGUAGUCGUGACGUUACGUCAGACUUUGUGUGAUUAUCGCCCUCGUGUGGACGUUGUUGGAAUUAAAGCAUUUAGAGACGGAGCGUUACUACUUACUCUAAACUAUAAAAAUGUAACAUUAAGAAAAAAGUGCAAUAAAAAUGACAACACAAAAAUUAUCA
rnacentral:lncRNA from 1 species